rnacentral:rRNA from 1 species
UUGAACGCUGGCGGCAGGCCUAACACCUGCAAGUCGAGCGGAUGAAGGGAGCUUGCUCCUGGAUUCAGCGGCGGACGGGUGAGUAAUGCCUAGGAAUCUGCCUGGUAGUGGGGGAUAACGUCCGGAAACGGGCGCUAAUACCGCAUACGUCCUGAGGGAGAAAGUGGGGGAUCUUCGGACCUCACGCUAUCAGAUGAGCCUAGGUCGGAUUAGCUAGUUGGUGGGGUAAAGGCCUACCAAGGCGACGAUCCGUAACUGGUCUGAGAGGAUGAUCAGUCACACUGGAACUGAGACACGGUCCAGACUCCUACGGGAGGCAGCAGUGGGGAAUAUUGGACAAUGGGCGAAAGCCUGAUCCAGCCAUGCCGCGUGUGUGAAGAAGGUCUUCGGAUUGUAAAGCACUUUAAGUUGGGAGGAAGGGCAGUAAGUUAAUACCUUGCUGUUUUGACGUUACCAACAGAAUAUGCACCGGCUAACUUCGUG